rnacentral:rRNA from 1 species
AAUGAACGUUGGCGGCGUGGAUUAGGCAUGCAAGUCGUGCGGAAAGGCUCCUUCGGGAGUACUCGAGCGGCGUAAGGGAGAGUAACGCGUGGAUAUCUACCCCCUGGACUGGGAUAGCGGCGGGAAACUGCCGGUAAUACCAGAUAAUGUCUGCGGACCAAAGGUGGGAUUCCGCCGGGGGAUGAGUUCGCGUCCUAUUAGCUAGUUGGUAGGGUAAUGGCCUACCAAGGCAAAGAUGGGUACCGGGUGUGAGAGCAUGGCCCGGCUCACUGGGACUGAGGCACUGCCCAGACACCUACGGGUGGCUGCAGUCGAGAAUCUUCGGCAAUGGGCGCAAGCCUGACCGAGCGACGCCGCGUGCGGGAUGAAGGCCUUCGGGUUGUAAACCGCUGUCAGAGGGGAGGAAAUGCGUGAGAGUUCUCUCUCACGUUUGACCUAUCCUCAGAGGAAGUACGGGCUAAGUUCGUGCCAGCAGCCGCCGUAAGAC